AAACACUGAGGAGUCCCACAAUAGGACGAAACAGCUGUUCAGUGU
rnacentral:hammerhead_ribozyme from 1 species